UGUACACCCCAGUCCAACACUGGCAUCUCCAAGUGGUGACAAGCACGGAAGAUCCUUUGCCUACAUACACAGUCAUACCUGGCGGCUGAUGCCUGUUCGCCAAUAGUAAAGAUGGCGGCGAUCAUUAUAAGUGGUGACUGAAGGAUGGUGUGCCAGUAACAAAUAUGGCGGUGGACAUUCGGUUAGCGACGGCGCGAAAGCGUGUCUUUUUACCGGUGGAGGUCGGUAAACAUCUGGUAUCACCGGGCGACACUAUCACUACCGACACCGGUUUCAUGAGAGGUCAUGGUACCUACAUGGAAGAUGACAAACUAAUUGCAUCAGUUGCUGGAGCUGUGGAAAGAGUGAACAAGUUGAUAUGUGUCAAGCCACUUCAAACCAGAUAUAACGGGGAAGUUGGGGAUGUCGUUGUGGGCAGAAUCACAGAGGUGCAACAGAAACGAUGGAAAGUGGAGACCAACUCCAGACUGGAUUCGGUACUGCUUCUAUCAUCUGUUAACCUUCCUGGAGGUGAAUUGAGAAGAAGAUCUGCAGAGGAUGAACUGAUGAUGAGGGAUUAUCUGCAAGAAGGAGACUUGAUCAGUGCAGAGGUACAGGCUGUGUUUGCAGAUGGUGCUCUGUCCUUGCACACCAGGAGUCUGAAGUAUGGCAAGGAGACUCCUUAUCCAUUUUCUUUCUUCUUCAACUUUAAUCUCUUCGGUCAGCUGGGCCAGGGAACGUUGGUCCAGGUUUCCCCUUCACUCGUAAAACGUCGCAAGACUCACUUUCAUAACCUGCCCUGUGGAGCUGCCAUCAUCCUUGGGAAUAAUGGCUACAUCUGGAUUUAUCCAUUUACUGAGCAGAAGGACGAUGAGGCAGGAGGAUUUGUGACUAACCUGGAGUUCCUUUAUCAGACAGAGAGGUGAUCUCACGACUCCGCAAUUGCAUCAUUGCUCUGAAUAUUCACAAGCUGUUGCUGUAUGACACCAGCAUUCUGUAUUGCUAUGAAGCUUCAAUGCAUCAACAGAUCAAAGAUAUUCUGAAGCCGGAAAUAAUGGAAGAAAUAGUGAUGGAGACAAGACAACGUCUAAUUGAUCAGGAAGGAUGAGGGCUUUUUUCACUGUAAUAUUUUGAAUAAAACUUUACAAUAAUC